UACAGAGGUCUCAAGCGUUGUUCGGAUCCAUUGGGCGUAAAGGGUGCGUAGGCGGCGGGGCAAGUCUGAUGUGAAAUCCCGGGGCUCAACCUCGGAACUGCAUUGGAUACUGCCUUGCUAGAGUACUGGAGAGGAAACUGGAAUUUACGGUGUAGCAGUGAAAUGCGUAGAUAUCGUAAGGAAGGCCAGUGGCGAAGGCGAGUUUCUGGACAGUUACUGACGCUGAGGCACGAAGGCCAGGGGAGCAAACGGG
rnacentral:rRNA from 1 species